UACGGAGGGUGCGAGCGUUGUCCGGAAUCACUGGGCGUAAAGGGCGCGUAGGCGGCGCGGAUAGUCGGCGGUGAAAGCCCGGAGCUCAACUCCGGGUCGGCCGUCGAUACUUCCGGGCUUGAGCACUGUAGAGGCAGAUGGAAUUCCGGGUGUAGCGGUGGAAUGCGUAGAGAUCCGGAAGAACAUCGGUGGCGAAGGCGGUCUGCUGGGCCGUUGCUGACGCUGAGGCGCGAAAGCGUGGGGAGCGAACAGG
rnacentral:rRNA from 1 species